UGCAGUCGACGGAACGAUGGGAGCUUGCUCCCAGGCGUCGAGUGGCGGACGGGUGAGUAAUACUUAGGAAUCUGCCCAUUAGUGGGGGACAACUAGAAGAAAUUCUAGCUAAUACCGCAUACGCCCUACGGGGGAAAGCGGGGGAUCUUCGGACCUCGCGCUAAUGGAUGAGCCUAAGUCGGAUUAGCUUGUUGGUGAGGUAAUGGCUCACCAAGGCGACGAUCCGUAGCUGGUCUGAGAGGACGAUCAGCCACACUGGGACUGAGACACGGCCCAGACUCCUACGGGAGGCAGCAGUGGGGAAUAUUGGACAAUGGGCGCAAGCCUGAUCCAGCAAUGCCGCGUGUGUGAAGAAGGCCUGCGGGUUGUAAAGCACUUUCAGUAGAGAAGAAAAGCUUACGGUUAAUAACCGUGAGUCUUGACGUAACCUACAGAAGAAGCACCGGCUAACUCCGUG
rnacentral:rRNA from 1 species